rnacentral:SRP_RNA from 1 species
UAUCGGUCCCCUCGCAACGAGAAACUGUGAACCCCGUCAGGCCCGGAAGGGAGCAGCGGCAGCAGUCUGGUAUGGGUCACCACCCAUUCUG